rnacentral:tRNA from 1 species
CCUCGCGGUAGUCCGGGGCGGGCAGGGCGCGGGCGUCCAGCUUGCCGGUGACGGUCAACGGCAACGCGUCGAUCGCCACGAUCGCGGACG